AGAGUUUGAUCCUGGCUCAGGACGAACGCUGGCGGCGCGCCUAACACAUGCAAGUCGAACGGAGCUUAGAGAGCUUGCUUUUUAAGCUUAGUGGCGAACGGGUGAGUAACGCGUGAGUAACCUGCCCUAGAGUGGGGGACAACAGUUGGAAACGACUGCUAAUACCGCAUAAGCCCACGGUACCGCAUGGUACUGAGGGAAAAGGAUUUAUUCGCUCUAGGAUGGACUCGCGUCCAAUUAGCUAGUUGGUGAGGUAACGGCCCACCAAGGCGACGAUUGGUAGCCGGACUGAGAGGUUGAACGGCCACAUUGGGACUGAGACACGGCCCAGACUCCUACGGGAGGCAGCAGUGGGGGAUAUUGCACAAUGGGGGAAACCCUGAUGCAGCGACGCCGCGUGGAGGAAGAAGGUUUUCGGAUUGUAAACUCCUGUCGUUAGGGACGAUAAUGACGGUACCUAACAAGAAAGCACCGGCUAACUACGUGCCAGCAGCCGCGGUAAAACGUAGGGUGCAAGCGUUGUCCGGAAUUACUGGGUGUAAAGGGAGCGCAGGCGGACCGGCAAGUUGGAAGUGAAAACUAUGGGCUCAACCCAUAAAUUGCUUUCAAAACUGCUGGCCUUGAGUAGUGCAGAGGUAGGUGGAAUUCCCGGUGUAGCGGUGGAAUGCGUAGAUAUCGGGAGGAACACCAGUGGCGAAGGCGGCCUACUGGGCACCAACUGACGCUGAGGCUCGAAAGUGUGGGUAGCAAACAGGAUUAGAUACCCUGGUAGUCCACACUGUAAACGAUGAUUACUAGGUGUUGGAGGAUUGACCCCUUCAGUGCCGCAGUUAACACAAUAAGUAAUCCACCUGGGGAGUACGACCGCAAGGUUGAAACUCAAAGGAAUUGACGGGGGCCCGCACAAGCAGUGGAGUAUGUGGUUUAAUUCGACGCAACGCGAAGAACCUUACCAAGUCUUGACAUCCUGCGACGGUGCUGGAAACAGUACUUUCCUUCGGGACGCAGAGACAGGUGGUGCAUGGUUGUCGUCAGCUCGUGUCGUGAGAUGUUGGGUUAAGUCCCGCAACGAGCGCAACCCUUAUGGUCAGUUACUACGCAAGAGGACUCUGGCCAGAUUGCCGUUGACAAAACGGAGGAAGGUGGGGAUGACGUCAAAUCAUCAUGCCCUUUAUGACUUGGGCUACACACGUACUACAAUGGCGUUAAACAAAGAGAAGCAAGACCGCGAGGCGGAGCAAAACUCAGAAACAACGUCCCAGUUCGGACUGCAGGCUGCAACUCGCCUGCACGAAGUCGGAAUUGCUAGUAAUCGCAGAUCAGCAUGCUGCGGUGAAUACGUUCCCGGGCCUUGCACUCACCGCCCGUCA
rnacentral:rRNA from 1 species